rnacentral:misc_RNA from 1 species
CUGCCCUCAAGCACGGCUUGUGUGUUGGGCCUUCGUCCCCCCGGGGACGGGUCCGAAAGGCAGCGGCGGCACCGCGUCCGGUCCUCGAGCGUAUGGGGCUUCGUCACCCGCUCUGUAGGCCCGGCCGGCGCUGGCCGACGACCCAUCAAUCUUUUUUCCA